CGACGUCACGGUCCCCCAGCAACCGGCGCCUCGCGGCCGCCCCCGACAAGGCCCAGGACUCGGGAGAGGCCGGACGAGCGGCCUGAGGCGGGGUCAGGCCCGAGGCCUCGCUUACUCUCCUGCCUCUCCCUCCCUCGGAGAAGAGUCCAGCCUUUUAAGUGGGCUCUUGCGGACAGAACUGUUCUCUCCUGACCCUCCUCUAUGAAUCAUUCUCCUCAGCUGACGGGAGCGACCCGGCUCUUCCCCGCCCCUCUCAGAGCCGGCAGCUACGUGGACUACAAUUCCCUGCGUUCGCGGGGGUCCUGCCUCUCUCCCAUCUAAUUCACUGGAGUGCCGAAUGGCAUGCCGGGAUUAGUAGUCAUCCAGCGGGAAAGACUUCCCGCCAAAGGCAUGCCGGGAGCUGUGGUCCAGCUAGGGCCGGAAACGGGAGUCCCGCGGCGGCCGGAGGCCAGCGGCCAGGAGACCGUUAGGGGGAGGGUGUAAGCGGCGGCCCUGCCUCCUUUGUGCUCCGGUCGGAGCUGACGGUCCUGCUCUCCCCUGGCUGGUCAGGCAGGUUGACAGUCGCGGAAACUGGCACCCUUGGUGGGAACUGCCGGGCACUGUUUUAAUUCCCUCUUUUUCUCAUUUAGCGGUUUCGGUCUCUUUGAAAUUCUUUCCUUCCUCCCCUUGUUUGCGGUCAUGUUAUGUAUUCAGCUGCAGUAAUGUGGGAAAUUACAGGCAAUUAUCUGGAUAAAAAAAAAUUUUUUUUUUUCCUGCCUUAGCAGUAGUCGCUGCCACGUCUCGCGUGCCGCGGGGGCUCCGGACUCCGUGGCAGGUGGUCGCCUGCAGCUCACCGGAUCCUCCCGACGCGGAGAUUUUUGUGGGACCCAAGGAGCCCGGAUAGUCCUGGAAGAGGUUAACAGAUUAAGUGGCCAAGAUUCGGCAAUUUGGAGACCGAAGGUGAACUCCGAGUCUACACUCUUUGCUCUCCCAAGCUAAGCGUUAGUGGGUGAAUUUUCCAAGUAAUUGCCAGUUCCAUUCCAAGCAGCCUUUACCAAAACCCGUCCCGGAUGCCUCUUGUGCCCAUGGCUACCUCUUGAGCUGAAGAGGAACUUAGAGGGGACAGAAGUUCACUCAUCUCCCAACUGUUGUAUUUCUUGUGUGUGUGUGUGUGUGUGUGUGUGUGUGUGAGAUUCUGUGCUAGCUCUAGGAGUCUGGAGAUAAAAAGAAUUAUGGAA